CCUACGGGGGGCUGCAGUGGGGAAUAUUGCACAAUGGGCGCAAGCCUGAUGCAGCCAUGCCGCGUGUGUGAAGAAGGCCUUCGGGUUGUAAAGCACUUUCAGCGGGGAGGAAGGCGUUAAGGUUAAUAACCUUGUCGAUUGACGUUACCCGCAGAAGAAGCACCGGCUAACUCCGUGCCAGCAGCCGCGGUAAUACGGAGGGUGCAAGCGUUAAUCGGAAUUACUGGGCGUAAAGCGCAGGCAGGCGGUCUGUCAAGUCGGAUGUGAAAUCCCCGGGCUCAACCUGGGAACUGCAUUCGAAACUGGCAGGCUAGAGUCGUGGAGAGGGGGGUAGAAUUCCAGGUGUAGCGGUGACAUGAGUAGAGAUCUGGAGGAAUACCGGUGGCGAAGGCGGCCCCCUGGACAAAGACUGACGCUCAGGUGCGAAAGCGUGGGGAGCAAACAGGAUUAGAUACCCCGGUAGUC
rnacentral:rRNA from 1 species